rnacentral:lncRNA from 1 species
CUUUGACCUCCAACGAGCCUUCUUCUGCUUCUCUAUUCUCUUGAACCCUAAUUCCCAAAUUCAUCACUUUAGGAGUUGAUAUCAUGACAAUACUCCUCGCCUCCAAAGAUCCUUGACCCCAAGGAUGGAUCUUGCCGAACGAGUUACGGAUAAAACCUUCAUCUUCCCAGCUGUAAUCCCCAGGUGCAGUUGCAGACCAAAGAACCAAUUUUUGAGUCGUCGAAACCCCGACCCCUCCAGACCAGUCGUGUGUCAAGGUAUCCUACAGGUGUGAUGGAAAAGGUGCUGUCUUCGUUGAGAUUCGGGAGAUCCAAAGCAAUUUCAGCUGCAGAGCUGAUGACUUUUUUCAAGAGCAAGACGUGAAACACCGGAUGGAUGCGCGAGCCGUCAGGGAGCUUCAAACGGUAAGUCACAGCACCAACCCGCUCUAAGAUUUGAUAAGGUCCAUAGUACUUUGAGGAUAACUUUAGAUUGUUUCGCAGGGCAACAGAGGAUUGACUAUAAGGUUGCAAUUUGAGGUAGACAAGAUCCCCAACAACAAAUUCUCUUUCAGUGCGCUUCUUAUCAGCAUAAGUUUUCAUACGAUUCUCGGCAGCCACUAAGUUCGCCUUUAACUGUUGUAUUAGGAGCUGUCUGUCCUUCAUGAAAUCUUUUGCUUCGGAUUCCGCAUUAGGCAGGUAAGACUGGAGGAUGAACUGUGGGGGUGGGUAGCCAUAGAGAGCUUGAAAAAGAGUAGUCUUUAGGCUUGUGUGGAAAUUUGUAUUAUACCAGUACUCGGCGAAAGAUAACCACUUCAACCAUUGUUUCGGAUGUUGGUGUGUCAUACAACACAGAUAAUUUUCUAAACACUGGUUCAGCCUCUCAGUUUGGCCAUCAGACUGAGGAUGAUAAGCCGUAGACAUGUUCAAGCUAGUUCCCAUGAGUCGAAACAGUUCCUGCCAAAACUGACUUGUGAAAACCUUGUCCCGGUCAGAUACAAUGCUAAUGGGCUGCCCAUGUGGCUUAUAGACAUUAUCUAGGAAGGCCUUGGCUACUAUUUGUGCUGUAUACGGAUGGGCCAGGGCUAGGAAGUGCCCAUAUUUAGUAAACCUGUCGAUUACCACCAUAAUGACAUCCUUUCCACUAGAUUUAGGAAUUCCCUCAAUGAAGUCCAUGCAAAUAUGUGUCCAUGCUUGUUCAGGCACAGGAAGUGGCUGAAGUAGGCCUGGAUACAACCCUCCUGCAGAUUUGUUCUUGCUACAAACUGAACAUGCAGCCACCCAAUUGGUAACGUCUUGUUUGAGCUUGGGCCAAUAGAAAAUCCUCUUAACUCUCAUAUAAGUACCUAAAAUUCCCGAGUGUCCACCAUAAGCUGAGUCAUGUAAUUCUUUCAAAAGAGUGAGCCUGAUUGUGAAACCUUCUCCGACUGCUAUUCUCCUUUUAUACCUCAGUAUUCCUCCCACUAACUCAAAGUCUGGAUAAGUGGAGGGUUUGACAGACUUGGCUUCAAUAAUGGAGGUAAAAAACUUGUCCCCAAUAUAACUAGAGCUCACUUGUUUCAUCCAUUCUGGCACAACUACAGAGAUAGCAUUAGACUCUUCCAUAUCCACACCCACUCUAGAUAGGGCAUCUGCUACCUUAUUUUCUAGGCCCCUUUUAUACUGAAUUUCAUAGUUCAAGCCCAACAACUUGUUGAUCCAUUUUUGUUGCAUGGGGUUCAUCACCUUCUGAUCCAAUAAGUAUUUAAGAGCCUGCUGGUCGGUCUUAAUAAUAAACUUAUGACCUUGCAAAUAGUACCUCCACUUCUGUAUUGCCAUGAGUACAGCAAGAAACUCCCUUUCAUAGAUUGACAAUCCUUGAUUUUUAGGGUACAGUGUCUUGCUCAUAUAAGCAAUGGGUCUGCCAUCUUGCAUCAAAACUGCCCCUACCCCUUUUCCACUUGCAUCUAUCUCUAAGGUGAAGGGCUUAGAGAAAUCUGGUUGCCUCAGUCGUGGGGUAGUUACCAUAGCUUGUUUCAAAGUUUGGAAGGCCUGUUCCGCUUCAUUGCUCCAGUGAAAACCUCCUUUUUUCAACAAAUUAGUUAGUGGUCUACUGAGCAUUCCAUACCCUUGUACAAACUUCCUGUAAUAUCCAGUCAAACCCAAAAACCCUCUCAAUUGUUUUAGGUUAGAUGGCCUAGGCCAAUUAACCAUACUUUGGAUCUUGUCAGGGUCUGUAGCCACUCCCUCAAAAGAUAUGAUAUGCCCCAAGUAUUCUAUCUUCUCCUGGCCAAAGUGACACUUACUCUUUUUGGCAUAUAACUGAUGACUUCUUAAGAUGCUCAAAACUGUCCUUACAUGCUGUAGAUGAUCCUCCCAUGUAUGACUAUAGAUCAGAAUGUCAUCAAAAAAGACUAAAACUGACUUCCUUAGGUGAUCCUUGAAAACUUGAUUCAUGAGAAAUUGGAAUGUAGCUGGGGCAUUGCAUAAACCAAAAGGCAUCACCAAAAUUUCGUAGUGACCAUGAUGUGUGCUGAAAGCAGUCAUGAAUCUGUGCUCUGGCUUAACCAAUAUCUGAAAAUACCCUGACCGAAGGUCAAUCUUAGAAAAGAACUUAGAAUCAUACAACUCAUCCAAUAAUUCAUAAAUUACUGGUAUGGGAAAUUCAUGCUUAACAGUUAGGCUGUUUAAAUACCUAUAGUCCACACACAUUCGCCAUGUUGAGUCCUUUUUUUUUACAAGCAAAACAGGAGCUGAAAAAGGACUUUUGCUGUGUUGGAUCAUUCCUGAUUCUAACAAAUCCUACACUAUCCUCUCUAUUUCUUUUUUCUGAUCAUAGGAGACCCUGUAGGGAAAUUGAUGUUUCGGGGUACUGCCUAAUUUUAAGAAAAUUUGGUGUUCAAUCAGUCUUUGUGGUGGCAGCCCCGUAGGUUCUUGAAACACAUCCUGGAAUUCCUGUAGCACUUCUUCCAAUUCUUGAUUGUGUUCAUGUUGAAUAGGUAGGCACCUCAACCAAAAUACCUCCUCAAUAUUGUCGACAUCCUGGUGGACCAUCUGGUAUAUAGUUGGUCCACUAAUAAUCUUGCAGCCAACUUCCUUGGUGAGAGCUUGUAUCUUCACUCUCUGUCCCACAAGUGUCACUGUGAAGGUCAUUUGC